UCCUUCUUAGCUCAGUUGGUAGAGCGCGUCACUAGUAUGUCAUAUAUAUCCAGCCCUUAGUUUAUGACGAGGUCAGUCGUUCAAGUCGGCUAGAAGGAA